GACGAACGCUGGCGGCGUGCCUAAUACAUGCAAGUUGAGCGAUGAAGCUUGGUGCUUGCACCAAUUUGAAGAGCAGCGAACGGGUGAGUAACGCGUGGGUAAUCUGCCUUUGAGCGGGGGACAACAUUUGGAAACGAAUGCUAAUACCGCAUAACAACUUUAAACAUAAGUUUUAAGUUUGAAAGAUGCAAUUGCAUCACUCAAAGAUGAUCCCGCGUUGUAUUAGCUAGUUGGUGAGGUAAAGGCUCACCAAGGCGAUGAUACAUAGCCGACCUGAGAGGGUGAUCGGCCACAUUGGGACUGAGACACGGCCCAAACUCCUACGGGAGGCAGCAGUAGGGAAUCUUCGGCAAUGGACGAAAGUCUGACCGAGCAACGCCGCGUGAGUGAAGAAGGUUUUCGGAUCGUAAAACUCUGUUGGUAGAGAAGAACGUUGGUGAGAGUGGAAAGCUCAUCAAGUGACGGUAACUACCCAGAAAGGGACGGCUAACUACGUG
rnacentral:rRNA from 1 species